rnacentral:rRNA from 1 species
UACUCUGGUUGAAUCCUGCCAGUAGUCAUAUGCUUGUCUCAAAGAUUAAGCCAUGCAUGUCUAAGUUCAAACUCUAGUAAAGUGAAACCGCGAAUGGCUCAUUAAAUCAGUCGAUGUUCCUUAGAUGAUAUCUAGUUACUUGGAUAACUGUGGCAAUUCUAGAGCUAAUACAUGCCGUAGAAGCUCGGACCCUGUUCGCAGGGAACGGGCGCUUUUAUUAGUUCAAGACCAACGUUGGUUUGGGUGCCGGGGGUAGGCUUGCCUAUUGCCGGACUAACGCCUAGCCAGGUUAGUUUUGAUGACUCUGGAUAACUUUGUGCUGAUCGCACGGCCUUUAUGUGCUGGCGACACAUCUUUCAAAUGUCUGACCUAUCAAAUGUCGAUGGUAAGUGAUAGGCCUACCAUGUUUGCAACGGGUAACGGGGAAUCAGGGUUCGAUUCCGGAGAGGGAGCAUGAGAAACGGCUACCACAUCCAAGGAAGGCAGCAGGCGCGCAAAUUACCCACUCCCGGCACGGGGAGGUAGUGACGAAAAAUAACAAUCCGGGACUCUUUCGAGGCCCCGGAAUUGGAAUGAGAACAUUUUAAACCUUUUAACGAGGAUCAAUUGGAGGGCAAGUCUGGUGCCAGCAGCCGCGGUAAUUCCAGCUCCAAUAGCGUAUAUUAAAGUUGUUGCAGUUAAAAAGCUCGUAGUUGGAUCUCAGGCGCAGGCGGGCGGUCCACCACGCGGUGGUCACUGCCCGGGGCCGUUGGAUUUGGUUUGUCUUGGUGGUGGUGUGGCGUCUCGGGGCAAGUUUUUCCCCUCUCUGGGUUCGGCACUUUUGGCCAGUGGAGUAUUCGUGGAGUGUUAUUGUGGGGCCGCUGUUGGUAACUUCAGUGGCUUUUGCGAUACCUUGACAGCUCUCUCCAAAAGGUUCGCCUGUGCCUUGAUGUGUUGGCUUGUCUGUUUCGUCGCCUGCUUCAGGGGCAGCUUUACUUCUGGCGGUCGAUUCUCCUGCCCUACUUGACAGUUUGCCGGCUUGACCCCGCGGGUGCUCUUCGCUGAGCGCUCCGGGUGGCCGGCUCUUUUACUUUGAAAAAAUUAGAGUGUUCAAAGCAGGCAGUUCGUAGCCUGAAUAAUGGUGCAUGGAAUAAUGGAAUAGGACCUCGAUUCUAUUUUGUUGGUUUUCGGAAUUGGAGGUAAUGAUUAACAGGGACAAACGGGGGCAUUCGUAUUGCGGCGUUAGAGGUGAAAUUCUAUGAUCGUCGCAAGACGUACCACUGCGAAAGCAUUUGUCAAGAAUGUUUUCACUAAUCAAGAACGAAAGUCAGAGGCGCGAAGACGAUCAGAUACCGUCGUAGUUCUGACCAUAAACGAUGCCAACUGGCGCAUCCGCAGGAGUUGCUUCAAUGACUCUGCGGGCGGCCUCCGGGAAACCAAAGUUUUUGGGUUCCGGGGGAAGUAUGGUUGCAAAGCUGAAACUUAAAGGAAUUGACGGAAGGGCACCACCAGGAGUGGAGCCUGCGGCUUAAUUUGACUCAACACGGGAAAACUCACCCCGUCCGGACACUGUUAGGAUUGACAGAUUGAUAGCUCUUUCUUGAUUCAGUGGGUGGUGGUGCAUGGCCGUUCUUAGUUGGUGGAGCGAUUUGUCUGGUUAAUUCCGAUAACGAACGAGACUCUGGCCUAUUAAAUAGUUCACGGGUCGGCCGCCAGGAUCGGCGUGGUUGGGUCAGUUGCGUCGGCUUCUCUCUUGAGGGGAGUUGAGCGUAGCGGCCUACUCGUCGGCGUCCUUGGCGCGCCCGUGACAACUUCUUAGAGGGACAAGCGGCGUUUAGCCAAACGAGAUUGAGCAAUAACAGGUCUGUGAUGCCCUUAGAUGUCCGGGGCUGCACGCGCGCUACACUGAAGGAAUCAGCGUGGAUUUCCCCCUAGCCCGAGAGGGUUGGGAAACCAGUUGAAUCUCCUUCGUGCUAGGGAUUGGGGCUUGCAAUUGUUCCCCAUGAACGAGGAAUUCCGAGUAAGCGCGAGUCAUAAGCUCGCGUUGAUUACGUCCCUGCCCUUUGUACACACCGCCCGUCGCUACUAUCGAUUGAGUGGUUCAGUGAGGGCCUCGGACUGUCCUCGGCCUGGUGUUCACGCGCCGGCGCCGUUGGACGGGAAGAAGCUCGAACUCGAUCGCUUGGAGAAAGUAAA